rnacentral:tRNA from 1 species
GUUUGCGUGGUGUAGCGGUCAGCACGCUCGACGCGUAACCGAGAGGUCCGUGGUUCGAUUCCCGGCGAAGGCC